rnacentral:rRNA from 1 species
GUGGGGAAUUUUGGACAAUGGGCGAAAGCCUGAUCCAGCCAUGCCGCGUGCAGGAUGAAGGCCUUCGGGUUGUAAACUGCUUUUGUACGGAACGAAAAGACUCCUUCUAAUAAAGGGGGUCCAUGACGGUACCGUAAGAAUAAGCACCGGCUAACUACGUGCCAGCAGCCGCGGUAAUACGUAGGGUGCAAGCGUUAAUCGGAAUUACUGGGCGUAAAGCGUGCGCAGGCGGUUAUAUAAGACAGAUGUGAAAUCCCCGGGCUCAACCUGGGAACUGCAUUUGGGACUGUAUAGCUAGAGUACGGUAGAGGGGGAUGGAAUUCCGCGUGUAGCAGUGAAAUGCGUAGAUAUGCGGAGGAACACCGAUGGCGAAGGCAAUCCCCUGGGCCUGCACUGACGCUCAUGCACGAAAGCGUGGGGAGCAAACAGGAUUAGAAACCCUAGUAGUCC